GGGCCCGCACAAGCGGUGGAGUAUGUGGUUUAAUUCGAUGCAACGCGAAGAACCUUACCAGGGCUUAAAUGUAGUGGGACAGGUCUAGAGAUAGACCCUUCUUCGGACUCAUUACAAGGUGCUGCAUGGUUGUCGUCAGCUCGUGCCGUGAGGUGUCAGGUUAAGUCCUAUAACGAGCGCAACCCCUAUCGUUAGUUGCCAGCGGGUAAUGCCGGGAACUCUAGCGAAACUGCCGGUGCAAACCGAGAGGAAGGUGGGGAUGACGUCAAAUCAUCACGGCCCUUACGUCCUGGGCUACACACGUGCUACAAUGGCCGGUACAGAGAGCAGCCACUACGCGAGUAGGAGCGAAUCUAUAAAACCGGUCUCAGUUCGGAUCGCAGUCUGCAACUCGACUGCGUGAAGCUGGAAUCGCUAGUAAUCG
rnacentral:rRNA from 1 species